GCAGAUCAGCUGCUGCCCCGGCCCCUCUGCGAGCUGCUACUGCUCAGGGAAAAUGAGCACCUGGCCCCCUCCUCUGCUCUGGAGCCUCACCACGGUGUGUCUGACAGGUAUUGCUUUAGGCCAGACAACCACCACUCAGGCCCCUGUUGCAUCAACCUCGCUACUUCUGAGUGCUGCUACCACCCAAGUCCCUGUUGCACCAACCCAAAUGUCUUCUGUUGCCACCGCGACCUCAGCCCCCCCAUCCCCAUCAGUGGUCCCGUUUCUCAGCACCAUUGAGCCCUCAAACUGCAGCAGAGUGAAUGUGACAACAUGUGCUCCUUGCUCCCCAGGGACCAUUCCCAGCAAUGACACCUGGAGCUGCUUGUGCUGCACGGAGGGCUCAUGUGUGGACCCUGGUGCCUGUGCUCCUUGCCCUGUGGGACACUACCAGCCUGAGAGGGGACAGCAGCAGUGCCUGCCGUGUCCAAAGGGACGUUACGCCAACACUACGAGGAGCACCGUGUGCUCACCCUGCCUGCCUGGCCACUAUGCCAACGAGUCGGGGGCCGCAGCCUGCAGCGCGUGCCAGAAAGGUUAUUUUAGCUCACAGCAAAAUGCAGCUUCUUGUCUGCCUUGCCUGCCUGGAUCGUUCUGCAACACCACCAGCUGCACGCUGUGUCUGGCCUGUCCUGCUGGGCGUGAGGCUCCACGGGAGGCUGCUGAGGAGUGUACACUGUGCCGGGCAGGUACGUUCAAAGGUCUGGGUGAUGACACCUGCAAGCCCUGCGAGCCAGGGGAAUACCAACUGCAGCAGGGCCAGGAGAGCUGUGACCUGUGUCCAGAGAACCACUACUGCCCUAGCCCAGAUGUGAACCCAAUCAAGUGCCCUCCUGAUGCCUUCUGCCCUGUGGGCAGCACUGAGCCCCAGUACUGCAUGGAGAUCUUCCUGUACAAGGUGGGCAGCUCCUGCCAGCUGACGCCACUGGUGAUCGUCCUCCUGGCCCUCUUCUCAGCAGGCGCAAUUCUUAUAAUCUUUGUACUAAUUCUGAGAAGAAGGCAAGAACACAGCACAAAGUCUUUGAAGUCCCUGCUGCUACCACAAGGAUCAGAGCAGCACACAACGUAUGGAGUGAUGGAGCACACAGAGCCGGUGUAUGCUGGCUGGUAGAGGGGGAAAGGCAACCUGCAAGCACUGUGUUCCCUUUUCUGUAGGGUAAUGCACGCGUGUGCAUAUGUGAAAGAAGUUUGACCGUCACCAACCUAUUUCCGUAUUGCUAAAAUAAGCACAGAGAAAUGAAAUGCAAGUCAUUUUUCAGCUGUGCCUUUCUGUGCUGACCAACCUGGCUGGAUGCUGUUCUACAUCAAAUGGAUUUACAGCAGAAGCUUCCCCCUCUAAUUCCUAGCUCCACUCGCAAUAAAUACUUCUUUUUUUCCUUUCCUUAAGAAAUUUCAGCAGUCAGCUCAACUGCUGGAACAAAGAACAGCUGCUGCAGAUACUGGACUUCCCACAGCACAAUUGCUUCUACCCGAGCAGGAACUAACACAAAUAUUCCUCCUUUAAGGAAGAUGCACGUUUACUUAUUUAUUUGCCCUUCUCAAAACUUUACCUAUACUUGAAACUGAGGGUCAGCUGAAAAAAGGAAUCCCACACUUUUCCCUUCCUCUCAGCUGUGGGAAAACACGUGCAGCUGAACUUAUGGUUGACUCCUGGACAAAUGUGUCCCUUCUGUUUCCUGCUGUGGUGCUGCGGUCUCUCAUGCAGUGCUUCAUAUUACUCCACAGAGCUACAGAAGCAACACCCUCCUCCUCCUUCUCCAGUGCAAUUCAUUCGCAUACCAUGCAGGCUGCAAAGCCCUGCUCAGAUCAUCCAGCUGUGACACUUCCACAGCGCUGUGCUUCAUCAGCUCUGAGAGCCCUGGUAAAAAUAGUACUUAAUAUUGUGAGAGCUGUGCUUUCAAGUGAGUGUGCACGGAGGUGGAAGCAGGUGUUACUUCUCACUGGAGCCCUUUCCCUGAGCUAAAGCAGCAGCAGCCAGCUGAAGGAACCCAGCUGGUGGGGGUUAAGUGGCUGCUGCCCUCCACUGCUCAUUCUUCUCAUCCCUGGGGAGGUUAUUGUGCUUUUCAAGAAAAAGGAAAUAAACAACCGCCAAAAAAAAA
ensembl:lncRNA